rnacentral:sRNA from 1 species
GCCCGCGUGGCGCAGUUGGUAAGACUGUUACCCAAGGUAGCACUGUUAGAUGUGCUGUAGGUUCGAAUCCUGCUGCUGGCAAGGUCCCAUUUUGGGCCACUUCUUACCCAUGAAGGCCCCUGUGACCAGGGGCCAAGCCUAGUGAGGCAGUGCUGACAGGGGUGCUGCUUGGCAGUGGUGAGGGUGGUGGCCACUGGAAGCCAUACUCAUUAGUGCCAAGCAGCCCCUCUGUCACUAGUGCUGAUCUAAGCAAGAUCUGAUGAUUACAGAGGGUUGAGUAUAGAGUGCUUAUACAUACUAGCAUCUGCCAAGGCCCCCAGCAUCUAGAGGGCCACCCCAACAACAGGGAAUGAUUUUAAAAACCAUUCAAUUGACUGUCUCAUCAGAGGGGUAGUAGCAAGCCAAGCAGAACACCCUGAUAGACACUCUAUUCAGAGCCCACUAGUGAUCAUCUAACACUAUUAGUGAGUUAUCAUUGAGUGGGGUAAGUCUAUGGUUAGUCCCUUACACGGGGCAAGGCCACGAUGGCUGGUUGAUAGGCCAAGAGGGCAAUGGGCUGAGAUCAGCAACUGGAAGCUCUGGGCUAUGGUGAUGCCUAGGGUGGGCAGUGGUGCUUAACUAGAACCCUCAGCUGGAAACCCCAGAACUAGUUAAAGCAGCUCAAGAGAACAGAUGUGGUGGUUGGUUGAUUAUAGAAGUAAAUGUAACUAGCUUAAGAUGCAUUCUGCAUGGAGUAGUCAUAUAGUCAUUCAACUGAGAUUUGUUCUUUGCAAGAAAAUAAUGAAUAUAAACAUGAUAAGAAAUGGAAAUGGCCUGACU